GCUGUUGUUUUGACAAUUCUAACUCACAAUUAAUUGUUAUUAAUGAACUUGUUUUUUUUUUUUUUUUGAGGACCUUUCCUAUUGAAAGUGGUGAUAGUAUAUUAAACUCAUACACAUAACACGGAUGCUAAGAUUUGAACCCAAGACCUUGUCUGAGGGAGUAAAUAUUCUAAACCACUACACUAAUGGGUCCUUUGCAAUGAACUUGUCUUUUGUUUCUCUAUACUAGGGCUAUUAUUAUUUUGAUUAUUAUUAUAUAUUAUUUCAACUGUUGUCUUAGUGUAAUAAUUUUCUACACUAUUUUCUUACGUUACAUUCUUGAGGCCAUUUUAAAUUAACAUAUUUAAAUUCCUCAUGUUCUUUUUGUUCUUCAAACAUAUACAUAUAUUCAUCUAAUUCAC
rnacentral:lncRNA from 1 species